rnacentral:lncRNA from 1 species
GUCUUUUGUCUUUUUUGUUGUUGUUGUUGUUGCUAUUUCUUGGGCCGCUCCUGCGGCAUAUGGAGGUUCCCAGGCCAGGGGUUGAAUCGGAGCUGUAGCCACCGGCCUACGCCAGAGCCACAGCAACGCGGGAUCCGAGCCACAUCUGCGACCUACACCACAGCUCACGGCAACGGCAACGCCGGAUCGUUAACCCACUGACCAAGGGCAGGGACCGAACCUGCAACCUCAUGGUUCCUAGUCGGAUUCGUUAACCACUGCGCCACGAAGGGAACUCCCAGCAGUUCUUGAAAAAAUGAAACAAAAGACAAAACAAAAAACCUUCAUAUACAAUGAACAUCUUUUUCCAUUAAGUGACAAAAACAUCAAACUUCCCUUCAGAACUUAAAACAUAAAAAAUUUCCUCCACCUUGCUUCAGGUUUGAUGCUCCAAAUUUCUUUUUUUCCCCUUUAUUUAUUUUUAUUUAUUUAUUUUCAUUUGCUAUUUGGACAUUAUUUUUUAAUCAUCUUAAUAUCCAGCUUACUUUUACAUUGUUAUGUUAAUUCAACAUUGUUAUUCCACAGCACCAUUUCAUUCUCUUCCCACUGUCUCUGAAUAUGCGUACUUCAGUACUCUCUGUUUACAUGGAAAAAAACAGGUGCGGGACUUUUCGGUUUUUGUUUUAUAAUUUUAUGAUUUUUAUUUUUUCCAUUAUAGUUGAUUUACAGUGUUCUGUCAGUUUCUAUGGCACGGCAAAGUCACCCAGACAUACACACACACAUAUGUAUAUAUAUAUAUUUACAUAUAUUCUUUCUCCCACAUUAUCCUCCACCAUGUUUGGUUCUCCAAAUUUCUUUAGGACAUAAAGAGAAAUAUUGUCCAACCCUGUCCUCCAACUACCUCUCUCCUUCUCCUAAGAGAAUGAAAUGAUACCAUUAGUUUUUUUUAACCUUCCAGAGACGUUCUAGCUAUCCACAACUGUUCAUAAAUUCUUUUUUACACUCUUCUAUGCCUUGUUCUUAAGAUUGUAUCUCCAAGAGUAUAACAUAUCAGGAUAUAAUGAGCUUCCUUUUUCUAUCUUUAUGGUUCUAUAUAGGACUUUUUAACAACGUAUAAACCAGUUUCUGUGGCCCUAGUCUCUUGUCCAAACAAUUCAUUAAAUAUUCAUUUUGCUGGAGAAGUCCAUCCUAUUUUUAAAAAAUUAAUAAAUAUACACUCCACUCCCAAAUGUAAAUAUUUUCUAUAUACUAGAUCAUGUUAUUAUAGCAAUGAAAAACUUGUUGGAUAUGACCAUUUUAUUGGGGUUAUAUAGAAGAAAUUCCUCUUUAGCAGGUAUUUGGAGGUGAAACGUGGUAUCUACAACUUAUGUUCAAGUGGUUAAGCAAAAUGAUGCAAAUUUACAUACCACAUUUGAUUCAAAGCACAUAAAUACACAGAGCAUGAAGGCAACUGUGGCAAAUGUUAACAAGCGAUUAAUCUAGAAGAAGGGUAUACAGGUAUUCAUAGUACUAUUUUUCCAAAGUUUUGAAAAUGUCAAAAUGAAAAGAUAGGGUAAAAAGGCUCUGGCACUUCUGUAGGGUCCCCUUAUUUUUGGCCUUAAAACAUAUAAGAAUUUCCAACUCCCAGGCCUGUGUCUUAACCUAACCCAAUUUCAUCCCUCAUUCUCUCUCUCAAGAGAAAAUUAAAACGAGUUCUUUAGCUCUUCUUAACUACUGGUCCUUCAAACUGCUGGAACGUCGUGGCUCCAUGGGGGCUUCCCCCACUGCUGGAGCCCUUCUCCCUUCCCUCGCCACGCUCUGGGGUCCUCAGACAUUCGCUGCACCUUUUCAAGGACCAAGCACUGGGGACCCAGCUAGACAGCAAAUGCCUAGAGGAAGAAGCUCUGGAUGAAUACUUCGUUUGUAAUUCCCACAGCACCCAGUUCAAAAAGUGUCUGCUGAAAGAAUGGGUUUCUUCAGAUAAAGAAGAGCAUGGGAAACCCUGCUAAGUACUGAGGGAAAGGUCUCGAAGCUCAGUUUUCUUAGAAAAGUUUCUCUAGUGUCCUCAGCUUUUUCUCCAAUAUGUUAAACUCAUCUCAUCUUUCCUAUCCUUCCAGAUAAUGCCACACCUGCCUGCUCCCUGACACAAUAACAGAUUAUCCUACUGAGAAUGGAAAAACCUGUUCCACAAUCUCAAAUAAAGCAACUCCACAAGUUAGAAUAGUCAAUUCUUCUCACUUACAUGACAUUCCUCUCUAAUACUGUAACAGACUCUCAACAAUUUGGGGGAGGGAGGCAGCACCUCUAAGUCAUCUGUCUGUGGAAUAUUCCUGCACAGAACUCAUCCACCAGUUUGAAACUAGGGAAGACCGGCCUCCGAGUAUGUGUUUACUUCAGUUAAUCAAGGUGAUGCCAGAGGCAUCUAUCAUGUUGCCUAAGACAAAAAAAUAGCAUCUAAGAAAAAUACACUUAGGAAAAGUUGAUUCACUAACAGGAAAAAAUACAAAUGAUACCUACCUAAAAAUAGGAAAAAAUAAUGCUUCUUGAAAUAAGAUUCAAGUUGAAAUGGCACAAAUUGUAAAUUUACAAAUGUAAAAUAGGAAGAGUCUAAAUCUAUUUCAUCUCUCUCACCUGAGUAAAAGUCAUAGACCUGGAAGAGAUCUUAAAGUUCAACCCUCCAAAAAGUGAGAUCUAGAGAGGUUACACACCCAGUCCAACACCCCAUAACUAGCAAAUGAAAGUCAAAAUAGAUUUAGAAUGCAUAUAUUUUUCCAGGCUUCUCUGCCCAUUUCACCUCUAAAUUUCAUAUUUCAUAUAUUUAACUUUCCGUCCAAAAAAAUUGAGAGUGAAUAGGGAAGUGAAAGACCUCAUUGUAGUCAGCUAUGCCACCAGGCAGGUGUGUAAAAUUGAAUAAACUGUCUCAUCUAUAAAACAAGAAGACUGAAUUAAAUUAGCUCUGAAGCCCCUUAGAGCUAAAAUACCUUCUGAUCCUUGACAGUGGCAUAAGUAAUAGUUGCGUAUUUAACACAAAUCUUAGUCACAUUUUUUAAUAUCAAACUUUGUUACGGCUUAAGCAAUUUAUAAAACAUUUUUGUAACCCAAAUCACAUCUUUGUUUACCAAAAAUUUCAAAUUUUAAAUACAAAGAAUCCUGAAAUUCAUUGUCUACAUGAUUAUGAUUACCUAAAUUUUGGCAGGAAGGCCUUUAUUUAUUUAAUUAUUUUUUGUCUUUUUGCCUUUUCUAGGGCCACUCCCUCGGCAUACGGAGGUUCCCAGGCUAGGGGUCUAAUUGGAGCUGUAGCCGCUGGCCUACACCAGAGCCACAGCAACUCGGGAUCCGAGCUGCGUCUGUGACCUACACCACAGCGCACGGCAAUGCCAUGCGAGCGAGGCCAGGGAUCGAAUCCGCAACCUCAUGGUUCGGUCCCUGCCCUUGCUAGGUGGGUUAAGGAUCUGGCGUUGCCAUGAGCUAUGGUGUAGGUUGCAGACGCGGCUCGGAUCCCGCGUUGCUGUGGCUCUGGCGUAGGCCAGUGGCUACAGCUCCGAUUUGACCCCUAGCCUGGGAACCUCCAUAUGCCGCAAGAGUGGCCCAAGAAAUAGCAAAAAGACAAAAAAAAAAAAAAAAAACCUCUUUAAAACAAAUCUAUUGUUGAAAUGUUGCUGUUUUUUAAAAUCUCAAAUGAUCUAAUAUUGAAAAAUGUUUAUCUUGAAAAUACUCUGUAGCUGAUAUGAAAUGAUUCAAUAGGGUAUAGUUCAUUAAGCUUUUUAUAAAGUCCUUGUUCCAAACUGCUCGUUAGGUAGUGACAAACAAUACAGAUGGCAAAGAGCAAACUCCUUUGUUCAUUUUCAGAAGAAUUAAAUUAAUAGCAGAAGGAAUAUUAAUUUUGACCCCUUUAAAAGUGGGAGCAACGGAAGAUUUUGGUCUCUUCUUCCAGCAAAAUAGGGGAAGCGUACAAGCACAGUAACUUUUCACUCACCAAGUCAAAGCCUUAAAAUAGAUCACAGAUUUCAAAAAUAAAAUCCAAGAGUUCCCAUUAUGGCUCAGUGGGUUAAGAGCCUGACACAGUGUCCAAGAAGAUGUGGGUUCGAAGGAUCUGGUGUUGCUAUGGCAGUGGUGUAGGCCAGCAGCUGCAGCUCUGAUCUGACCCCGAGCCUGGUAACUUUCACAUGCUGCAGAUAUGACUGUAAAAAAAAAAAAAAAAAUUAAAAUUAAAAAAAUAAAGAUAAAGAUAAAAUCCAAGGAAAAGCUAUAAAUGGCCUUUUAUUUAAAAAACACUUUCCAGGAGUUCCUGCUCUGGCACAAUAAGAUCAGCAGCAUAUCUGGAGCACUGGGACUCAGGUUCAGAUCUGAUCCCUGGCCUGGGAACUCCAUAUGCUGCGGGAGGCCAAAAAAGGUAAAAAUAAAACAAAACUUUUCACUUAAUUUCGAGUACCUGCAUUUUCAAGCAACAAUCACUGAAGAGUGAAGAAUUAUCACAGAUUCUUUUAGAGCAGAGCCUAUAAAAAGUAGGUGUUAUCCAAGUUUGAAAAACCAAAAAUUAGAAAAAGCUGAAGGAACAGUAGUAACUCUGAGGGCAAAGCUUACGAAGUAGAUGUUCCUAGCACAGCAAUGAUUAACCUCUCUGGAAACAUGGAGACACAAGCAAAAAAGAUAAUCGAAGGUUUUUAGAAAACGGACAACAUGUGCAAUGAAUGCAUGAUACAGCAAUAAAAAGCAGAAAGCAAAACAGCUGUCCAUGGCCUUGACAAUGAACAGAUAAGUAGCUUGGUGUAGUUGCGAACAUUUUGAAAAGACUCAAUACUAACAAAAAUGCCCCUGGAAAUAGGAAACAAGAACUUAAGGUCACAGAUCAAGUACAACUUUGCAAAGGAAAAGAUCUGGAGUAACAUUUUUUUUUUAAUUGUACAAGAAUUAAUAGAAGUAUUAAGCAAGUUCCCAGAAACUGCCCUAGUGGUCUAAAUAUCACCCAGUACCUCUUUCAUAGAAAUGAAAGAAGCAGCAGAAUCUUCCAUACCAGAGUCAAUAACCCUUCCAAAGUGGAAUGCUUAGGUUUAGGGAUAUUCUGAUGUAGAUAAGAAUGGAGAAGGGUGCCCUUGAGCCCCGGCCCUAACUCCUGAAGGAAAAAGAGGGCCAGACAUCGCAGAGUCUAAUUCAAGGAGUCCUGGGUCUCCUGAUCCUGGAACUCAGAAGUAACACCCCUACACUGAGGCCAGUCUUGAUUAAUGUACAUCUUUCAAAAAGCUAAAGUACUCCUGGGAGGGUUUACAAUCCUACCCCAAUGUGAAUAAACUCAAUCACAGCACCUGAGGGCCAGAAACACCUUACUCCACCAACCCUUCAUUUUAUAGACGAGUAGCCCACGGCAUAGACUUGGACACUCUCGCAAGGUUCUGUAGCAAGUGAGAACUAGAAUGCAGAGGAAAGUGGAGCUCCUAGCAUAGCAUCCAAAGAGGUACCCACUAAUCAUUAUUAGAGAUCAACACUAUUCUACCCCUACACUCUUUCCACCAAACUAAAUAAGAUCAGUCAUGGCACAGAAAGAGAACUGAGAAGAAAAGGAAGAAGGCUGUGAAGGUAGGACCAUAAUGGACAUCCAGACGGGGUUUCGGCCAACCAGAAGCCCGCCACCUGGCUGUCAGAGAAACUAAUGUCAGAAGGUAGAAAGACAGGAACCUCAAGAGAUAUGGGACCACAACAAAGACAGAUGCUGCCACUUGCUAUGGUAUGAUUAAAUGCAAGAGAAAUACUAAAUGUCUUACCUCUCUAAAGCAAAGGAAGCUUUUCAAAGGUGCUGGGGGUGGGAGUGCAGUGGGGGGACAAACUCUAAGAAAGAUGGGAAGUGGGAAUCACACAGCAGCACCUCCCUCCCUCCCUCCGGCUGCUCAGUGAAAACUGGCUUAUGGGCUUUCCCCAGCACUCUUGUCAUAUAGACUGUCGGCCCCAUCCUCAAACUGUCAAGUCUGAAGAACUCAAAACAGUUUCACAGAUUUCGUUACAAAGAUUAUGUCACAGAUAGUUGAGUCAAGAAAUGACUGCAGAUCUGAAGAGCAAAUCACAUGGAGUUCUUUUCAAAGAAAGCAAGAGCAGAUAAAAGUCUCAGGCAGUAUCCAUGAAAUAUAGUCUAAAAUCAAUUAUAUGGAUGCUAAAUCAACUCUGACAUUUUAUAAAGGAAGAUAGAAAACAGAGUUUCAAAAUAAAAUUAAAACUGGUAGAUGUGAAAAGCAGGGAGAUUUUGUGGCCUCAGCUCAGCUUUGUGGCCUGUGCUACAUAAAUGAUUUGUUUCCUAAUCCAUAAAACACACUCAAUAAUAAGCACUGCGUGUGCCUUCCAGGAAUUUGAUUUAAACUAGUUAACGAUCAUAAAGCAAUCUAAAAAUGUAAGCACUGCAUGAAUUCUAGGUAUAACUUUGGAAAGGCAUUUGAUAUUAGUCAAGUAAUUUCAUCUGGUGAUAAUUUGAAGGAUUCACUGAAAAUGAAAAGGAAAACUCAUUAAUUUAUUUUCUAACAAAAGAAGCUUGUGCUAUUAACUAGUCUUGACACAUCCACAAAAAGUUUUAGAACAUUUAAUACUUUAAACCUUUCACUUUUACCCUCCCAUUCCCUAUUCCUUCUCCAUUUCUUUUUUAUUUUUUCGUUCUCAUAUAAGAUUAUGUCCCCCCCCCCCAAAUCUUACUUUCUUUCUUCUCCAGUAAGUUCACUCAUGUUAAAAUGUACCAUCAGGAGUUCCUGUCGUUGCUCAGCGGUAGCAAAUCCAACUACUGUCCAUGAGGACACAGUUUAGAUCCCUGGCCUCGCUCAGUGGGUUAAGGAUCCGGCGCUGCUGUGAGCUGUGGUGUAGGUCGCAGA